rfam:Phytophthora infestans T30-4 supercont1.4 genomic scaffold, whole genome shotgun sequence.
UCUCCUAUAGCUCAGUUGGUAGAGCGUGCGGCUGUUAACCUCAAAGUCGCUGGUUCAAACCCAGCUGGGAGAG